UUGGGGCGAUUGUCGGACUAGUCGCUGUUGCGGGGACAAGCAAUUACCCAGUGACUAGACCGUACACUCGCGUCCUAAACG
rnacentral:pre_miRNA from 1 species